rnacentral:rRNA from 1 species
GACGAACGCUGGCGGCGUGGAUUAGGCAUGCAAGUCGAACGGUAUCAUCCUUUCGGGGGUGAGAGAGUGGCGAACUGGUGAGUAACACGUAGGUUAUCUACCCUCAAGACGGGGACAACCCAGGGAAACUUGGGCUAAUACCGGAUGUGAGCAACUUUUAGUUGUUUGAAAGGUGGCGUAAGCUGUCGCUUGGGGAUGAGCCUGCGUCCUAUUAGUUAGUUGGUGAGGUAACGGCUCACCUAGGCAAUGAUAGGUAGGCGGCCUUAACGGGUGGUCGCCCACACUGGGAUUGAGAUACGGCCCAGACUCCUACGGGAGGCAGCAGUCGAGAAUAGUCUACAAUGGUCGGAAGACUGAUAGUGCGACGCCGCGUGAACGAUGAAUCCCUUCGGGGUGUAAAGUUCUUUUAUAUGUGAGCAGUGCUUCUUAUAUUAACAGUAUGGGGAGAGAGAUAUUAGCAUAUGAAUAAGCAACGGCUAACUCCGUGCCAGCAGCCGCGGUAAUUG